rnacentral:lncRNA from 1 species
GUGUUUUUGAUGAAGGAUUAAUUCCGUUUCUCAUUUCGUUCCAUUUGAGCCAGUAACUUUUACCAGAGUGAAAACAUAGCCUACACUGGGCCUUUAUUGGGCCACAUGUCUCUCUGUGUCCAAACCCUUCUGGAAUCCACGACUGCGUCUAGUGCUGUCAAGUGGAGCAGGGACAACAACGAGGCGGAGGAGAUGGCGUUGGCGUUCGACGAGUUCGGGCGGCCGUUCAUCAUCAUAAAAUAACAGGAGAAGAAGGCCCCGCUGAGCGGCUUGGAUGCGCAGAAGGCCAACAUCGCGGGCGGGAAGGCGGUGGCGCGGAUCCUCCGGACCUCGCUCGGCCCCAAGGGCAUGGACAAGAUGCUCCAGAGCCCCGACGGCGACGUCGUCAUCAGUGUGUAGCCCAUCCUUUCUUCUUUCUUCAUCAUACUGUUCUAUCUUUCCGUGCGUGAUCUCACCUCACUUUGUCUCAUCAACACGAGGGUAUAACUUUGUGUUAAAAGUUUUUGCACUUUAUUGAUCUUAUUGUGGCAGCAAAUGAUGGUGCAAAGUCAAGCGUUUUUGUCCUCAAGAAACUAAAUCGAACCUUAACUAAAGCGGCGAUCUUUGUAACAGAAAACGAAACGAACGAAAUGGUUAUGUCGAGUGCACAUUCUUUGCAUCCAUCACACAGAGAAGGCGAGAGAGAAAAAGAAAAAAAAUGUAUGCCGAAUGCACCAAUCACGGCGAAGACAAAAAAAAAUGGCAAAGUAAGAGAUGGAUUUUGUCCGUAACCCCAUCCGACGGAAACUAAAUCGCCAUCUCGUGACCGAAAACAAAGACUAUAUAUAUAUAUAUAUAUAUAUAUAUAUGCCGAAUGCACAUUCUUGCGUCACACAACGAACACCAAAAAACCAAGAAAGAGUGCGUGUUUUUUUUUGUCCGAAAGAAGCCAAAUCGAACCAUAAAGAAGCGAUGUGUAACAAACACAACACCAAACGCACAUUCUUUGCAUCACACGGACGGGGUAGAUGAAAAACCAAGAAAGAAAGAAAGCGUUUUGUUGUCCGCAACCCAUCCGAAAGAAACUAAAUAAAUUGGGACCAUAAAGAAGCGAUCUCGUGACACAACAAAAAAAGAAUGGGGCUGGAAACGCCGAACGCACAAUCUACAACAUAUCAAGAAAGAGAAAGGGGGUGGUGUUUUCCUCCAUUGCCCAUCCGAAAUAACCUAAAUCGAAGAAGCCAUCUCGUGACACAGAACAAAAAAGAAAAAGGGCUGGAAACGCGGAACCAAAGAAGGAAUGCGGUGGAUAUGCCGAAUGCACAUUCUUGCACCAAAGACGAAAAACCCAAGAGCGUGGUUUUGUCCAUAAUCCAUCCGAUAGCAACAAAACCAAAUCACAAAAGAUGCGAUCUCGUGACCGAAAACGAGUGAACUGGAUACGUCGAAUGAAAUGCACAUCCUUGCAUCCACGACAAACCAAGAAAGAGAGAUGAGUAAGCGAUCUUGUAACCGGAAACAAAACGUACGAACCGGAAAUGCCGCAUGUACAAUCUUGGAAAAAGACGAACGAAAACCCAAGAAAGAGAGCCCCAAACUCAUCCGAAAGAACCUAAAUCGAACGAUAGAGCACCGAUCUCGUCACAAGAAACGAAAACGAAUACCCCAGAAGCAUGAUUCUGCAAGCAACAGAUGGGUAGGUCGAUCGUGCUCGACAGCAGCUAUUUCGCGACCGAACCCCGAGGGCUUUGUCCGGCCACGAGAAAAGGGCAGGAGGAGGAAACAACAAGAAGAUGCUUACACACCCAUGGCGAGGUGGGUGCCGAGGCUGGAACCCACGAGGAAAGCUGCGGCAGAUGGUGGCGGAAGAGGAGACGGAACGAAGGACGUG